AGGUUAUCUCUGGUUUGCGAAAAAGAGCGACUAUUACGCGUAGCCGCGCUGAAAAAUGAAGACGGCUGCUCGCUCGUAGUAUGACGAGGAGAGAUGAUCACUUCUGCUGGCACUCGAGCAACAGCUACUACUGCGAGGAGCAGAGAAAGUUGCGGGAGACUUAUUGGAAAAUCGUCAGGAAUUACGAUAGAAACCCGGAGAGUUUGUCGUCGUCCCACGAUGGCCAACUUAGCAACGACGCCUCGUCGACGGAUCGACGUCGACGAGGCAUUGUCGAGCAGAACAGAGACUCGCCGGUCUCGCCUUGUCUCAAAACGCUUGGAAGUAUAGAAGAGCGGAGUUAAAAAGCGGGUCAACUUCUACAAAGAGAAAGCCGAAACGACGAGCCAGUCGUCGUCGAGCUACUACCGACUACCGCGGAAUACUAAUCACAGCUCGCCUCGUCAUAGCAGUACUGCCAACAGCGAGUACGACUCGUAUAACUCCAUCAGCACCGACCUCUACGACCUGCACUGCAGCGGUCCGGGUCAUCCACGCGCACACGGCUCUCCCUCCCGAAAAUCCAGCAAAACAGACGACAGCGGUAACGAGGAGCGUCGUCUGCUCGAGCGAUUAAGCGGGCUGUCGUUGCACUCGCCGAGUAGGAGCAGCCUCACUUGUUGCUCGUCGCGGAAAAAGCCUGAGCCGAGUCAGCCGAGGCUCUACAGGCCGAAGGACUGCCUGAAACGAGCGGCCGUUAGGCGUAUGCUCGUCUACCCGCCAGAGGGCCAGACCGGCCCGCCGCUCACUCUCCGAAGGAGCUGUUCCAACAUCGAUUGCCGCGUCACCGGUGACCCCGACAACGGUUACAGGUACAAGGUCUACUACCUGCAGAAAUUCGAGAGCGACAGCUGGUUCCCAGCAGACGACAAGACCGGCAGUCCGUUCCAUCGCCUCGAGGAGGACUGCUCGACGGAUUACGGUUGAAGUUUUACCCUCUCGCGGGGGCGAAUAAUCGUAAACGCCGCCGUCUCGAUCCGCUUUAGGAGCGCGGGAAUUAAACUGCUCGACUGCUCGGAUUGAUUGCGUUAAUAACUCGGCCUUGAGUCCCUCUCGCUCUGUAUCGUCCCGCGAGUAAGUGCCUAUGGUGGAUUAAAUUAGAGGCGAGGAUCUCGUAAGCCCCGUUUAAAAUUUGCGGAACCGAUGCGACGCGAAUAAAGGAAAACACUAUAUACUAAA